rnacentral:rRNA from 1 species
AAGACCUUGCACUUUUGGAGCGGCCGAUGUCUGAUUAGCUAGUUGGUGGGGUAAUGGCCUACCAAAGCUUCGAUCAGUAGCUGGUCUGAGAGGACGGCCAGCCACACUGGGACUGAGACACGGCCCAGACUCCUACGGGAGGCAGCAGCGGGGAAUUUUGGACAAUGGGCGCAAGCCUGAUCCAGCCAUGCCGCGUGAGUGAAGAAGGCCUUCGGGUUGUAAAGCUCUUUCAGCCGGGAAGAAAAGGCUACGACGAAUAAUCGUAGCUCAUGACGGUACCGGAAGAAGAAGCACCGGCUAACUACGUGCCAGCAGCCGCGGUAAUACGUAGGGUGCGAGCGUUAAUCGGAAUUACUGGGCGUAAAGGGUGCGCAGGCGGUUUUGUAAGUCAGAUGUGAAAUCCCCGGGCUUAACCUGGGAACU